rnacentral:rRNA from 1 species
AGAGUUUGAUCCUGGCUCAGAACGAACGCUGGCGGCAGGCUUAACACAUGCAAGUCGAACGCCCCGCAAGGGGAGUGGCAGACGGGUGAGUAACGCGUGGGAAUCUACCCAUCUCUACGGAAUAACUCAGGGAAACUUGUGCUAAUACCGUAUACGCCCUUUUGGGGAAAGAUUUAUCGGAGAUGGAUGAGCCCGCGUUGGAUUAGCUAGUUGGUGGGGUAAAGGCCUACCAAGGCGACGAUCCAUAGCUGGUCUGAGAGGAUGAUCAGCCACAUUGGGACUGAGACACGGCCCAAACUCCUACGGGAGGCAGCAGUGGGGAAUAUUGGACAAUGGGCGCAAGCCUGAUCCAGCCAUGCCGCGUGAGUGAUGAAGGCCCUAGGGUUGUAAAGCUCUUUCACCGAUGAAGAUAAUGACUGUAGUCGGAGAAGAAGCCCCGGCUAACUUCGUG